rnacentral:lncRNA from 1 species
GUGGCCACUGCCACACUGGCCACUCCAGUACUUCUGAAAUAGACAUUUCCCCAAACCCGAGUUCCCUGAGGCAGAGCCCAGAGCAUCCGAUGGGGCAGUGGGGGACACACAGUCCUCUCCCAGGUCUGAGGUGGGUGUGUGAGGAAGGGGUCGUGUCCUGAUCUUUGAUCCCUGCAGGGAAGUCCUUGGCAUCUUGCCUCAUCAGUAACAUUCCUACAAGUAGCCCUUUCCUUCCAGGAGGCAUUCGUGUGAUCCCCGCACCCAUGCCAGCGUGCAUGGUUUGUGCCUGGUAUGGCCCCUGCCUGGGGCCACCUCGGCCUUGCCACG